rnacentral:lncRNA from 1 species
GGGGCCGGCGGAGGCCAGGAGACCGAAAACGCGGCCGAGCCGGGAGCCGGGAGCCGGAGCCACAGCCUGGACCAGAACUUGGCCGCCGCCUGCGCCACCGUCUCUCCCGUCGCCGUCUCCCGCGGCCGCCUCGCACCGCCACCGCCGCGAGCUCGGCUACUGUGGUCCGCGGACUUUGGGUGUCCGGGUUGAAGGUCGGUCCGGACGUCGGAGCAGCUCGGCUCCCGGACCGUCCGGGCGGCUGCGGGCGCCGCCGCCGCCGCCUCGUCGCCUCAGCCAGGCGUUUUGUUCGCUGAGACGCGAGAGGCGAGCGGAGCUGACAGUGAUUUUGACAGUGAUUCCAACCCGCUUUUGUUGUUGUUGGCUUUUCGUUGUUUGGUUUGGUGUGUUGUGCGUGUAUGUGGCGGUUUUUCCCCCGUGGUACAUUUUUUUAAAUUGUUGUGCCUUUUUUUUAAAUCCUUUUUUUUUCAACCCUGUGAACGUUUUUUGCUUCCCCCUCCCCCCCGCCUCGGGGCUUCCGAAUAUGUUUUAUGACGGUUGAUUUUACACCAGGAGGUUUGUCUCCGAGGAAGACCCAGGGAACUGGAUAUCUAGCGAGAACUUCCUACGGCUUCUCCGGCGCCUCGGGAAAAUGGGAGCUGCUGCAAAGUUGGCGUUCGCCGUCUUUCUUAUCUCUUGCUCUUCAGGUAGGUGGAGGAGCCGGCGCGGCGGGGCUGUGGCCGGGUGCCGGGUGCCGUCUGCUGGGCAGUUCUCGGGCCGAGGCUUUUCCCGCGCCUAAACCCGCAGCCCCGAUCAUCUCGAAAUCUCCAUGAAUUCCACUUGUUUUGGGUUGGUGUGGCGAACUGAUAGGUUGAGUGCUGUGUUGUUGUGCAAGUGAGAAAGUCAUGGUUUGUGGCCAUAACACUCGAUGACAGCGCUGGUUGGGUUGCUGUUCAAGCCGCAAAUACCACAAGUGAAAAUUUAUGUAAAGGUUUGAGACCCAGAAGGAGGUAUUCCAAAAUGUCAUUUAGCCUAAGCUGUUCCAAAACAAGGACCGGUUUUGGUCGUCAUCUAAUUAGUGCUUCACCGGUGAAUAUCGAGACAUAGAUCAAGUGAGCUGGUGUUUAAUUUUGACUGUGAGAAACAAUGCAUCCUAUCAGCGAUUUAAUCUAGGUCUCCUCUCACGUCUUCUCCAACUACAUUGUCCAGUAGUGUUAAAAAUAGUUUUAGUUGCCGGAGUAUUAACCCUAACCCAGUGCAGAAGAGGUAUGCUGCUGUGUGUUGGUGGUGUGUGCUGGCUUUCACCCACCAUUUGGGUGCUCUUUUCAGGCGUAGAUUCUGCUUACCUACGGAAUACUUAUUUUAAACGCUUUGCACCGACACGUUGUUUUCAGUUAAGAACAGGCCAUGUGAAAUUGUGUUCAUGUUAAAUAUGCUGUUCUUGUGAGAUGUAUUUCUUUUUCUUUUCUUUUCUUUUAACUCAAGGUUAGGAGAAUACUCUGGCCAUUUUAUAUCUGAAAAAUUUGAUUAUGUGAAGAUGUUGUAUGGUUGCAACCAGUGGUUGGAAAAACUAGGCUUUUGUAUUGAAAUUCUGGAAAUGCAUACAUACAUCUAGCUGAAAGGUGUGCAAAUGCACUUAACCGGAGAGUUAGUUGGAGGGAUGAAAGAGUUUAAAAGUCACAGUGAAUGCAUUCAUUAUAAAAAUUCAGUGUAUACUUCCUAGGUUGUGGCAAACAGGAGGGGUGGGGGACAAAUUGACAGGUUUCAUGGUUGUGUCAUUCCCUCGUAUGUCACAGGGAAAUUAGAAGGUGGUAGUCUUUUCUUUGUGUACCUCUCUGUUGUGUGUGUGUCCAUCUUCCCUACCCCACCCCCCUUUUAAUAGAAUCCUUUGUAAUGUAUAGAAUUUUGCUGAAUGGUACAUUUCCUUGUGGUUAAUAAAUGGAUAAAGUCUAGUCUUAUGUCUGUAGUGGUAUUGAUCAGUUCCGGGUGGGCUGAAUGUGUUGUGAAAUGGCGAUCAUUGCCAGAGAUUAACCAAAAGAAUCAUGUCUGUUUAAAUGGAAGAAGGAACAUGCUUAAGGCAGGCGGACAGUUCUUUUUGUGCUCGGUUUAGAGAGCAAGCUAAACAAUGGUGUCUGAAAUGAAUGAAAGCUUUGAUGAUGUUAAACGUCUUGCUUUUCUGAACCGACUUAACCCUGUAGUUUUUCCCCCUCAUAGUGCUUUUCCCCCUGACCCUAUAUAUCUAGCUGGUAAACUCCUGCUCAGGUCUCCUUUUUUUCUGAUCUGCCCUUGAGGAGGAGGGGCAUCAUGGCCACUGACCAACGACUGUGGACAUUAUUCUUUCUCAAACCCACCUGAGUCUCAUUAAUUGGUGAGGGAGGUUAUUCUUGAGCAGCCCCAAGGUAUCACUCCUGGAAAAGCAAGCUGACACUACAGAUCUUACAGCUUCCUCUGCUUGGCUCGGAGUAAGAGGAACCGAGUAGUUCAGUAGUUCCCUUUGCGAUUAUUUUCACUGGGCUCACAGGCUAAUAGCAAACAUUUCGAGGUUGAGAAGUUCUGCUGUUAUAGAACAUAUAGAUAAUCCAUUGAAAUAAUUUGAAAAACUUUAUCCAUAUUGAUACAUGAAGGUGUGUUUGUGCUUAAAAUGUC